rnacentral:lncRNA from 1 species
GUGAAAAUCAAAGAUUAUAAAUGUGGAGAAAAUGUUACGGAUGUAGUAAUUCACAGUCACAAUGAGAUGAAGAUAAUAUGUAAAUAUCUAUGUAAGUAUUAUGUUCGAAUAUUUAACAAAUGAGGUAGCUCAAGGUAAUAGUUUUGUAGCAAUGUGGCCUUCUUUUUUCCAUUGGAUACUCCGCAUUAGUUCUCACGAGCUGCUCUAGCAAAAAGGACAAAUCCUAGAAAUUCUUACAAAAAUCAGAAACAUCAAGCAUCAAUCCUGUAAACUCUAAUAAUCAUAGUUAUUUGUCUAUUGUAUUUUCUAAAAAGUACCCACUGUCAUUAUGAAAAUAUUCUAAAAUAAAC